CCUAGUCUAGGCGUGUAGGGACGCACAUAAGGUUGGAGGAGAGAGAGACAAAUCCCCGCCCUGGUUCCCAAGCCAAACAUCCAAACCAGUUGUGAGUAGAAAGGUGAUUUUAUUUAAGGAAAAGAAGCAUAGCUCCAGGGUGAGCCAAAAUAAUAAACAAAACCAACUAAGUCCCACCAGAGAAAAACUAACUAAACCCUAGGAAAGAAACAGAACAAACAAAUGACAGAGCUAUCCCUCGCUCCCUACCCGGAAAACAGGAGAAAACGGUUCCAAAAGAAAAGGCGGCUCACCCCUUCCGCUUCAGCCCAAGAGCUGGGAAAACCAGGGUCAGGGCCACGUCGGCUGUCAAGCUACUCGCUCGCUACUCACUCGCUCCACUCUCUCUCCCCCUCUCUGUGGAUCUGUCAGAGCGGCUUUUUGAAGGUAGUCACCUGCUCCAUGGUCCAAUCAGCCGCUCACUACUCUUCAUUAGGGGAGGGACCUGGAAAGAGUCGUAAGCACAGUACAGAAACACAGAAAGAAAACAGCCCACACAGGGUCCUCAUGGCCACAGCCGUAACA
ensembl:lncRNA